UACGUAGGGGGCGAGCGUUACCCGGAUUUACUGGGCGUAAAGAGCUCGUAGGCGGUCUGUCGCGUCGGAUGUGAAAAUCCAGGGCUCAACCCUGGACCUGCAUUCGAUACGGGCAGACUAGAGUUCGGCAGGGGAGACUGGAAUUCCUGGUGUAGCGGUGAAAUGCGCAGAUAUCAGGAGGAACACCGGUGGCGAAGGCGGCGCUCUGGACCGAGACUGACGCUGAGGCGCGAAAGCGUGGGGAGCAAACAGG
rnacentral:rRNA from 1 species